CUUUUCUUCCCUUCUAAAAGUUUCAGCCUCUCUCUUCCAUUUUCCAUUCAUUCUUGUUGGAAACCCUAACCAUUUGCUUCUCCUCUUCUUACUUUUGAUGGUUAAAGGUAGAUUAAUAGGAGUAGAGAGGAUGAGAAGAGAAGAUGGCAAGGUACUCGACUUUUAGGUUGUGCUUAAGACCUUGUUGAUCAGCCAGUGCUAGGAUGGAUCCAUUAGG